rnacentral:lncRNA from 1 species
GGAGUGCACAUAUACCUCUUUUGGAUCCUGAUUUCAGUUGCUUUGACUCCACAUGCAGAAGUGAGAAUGCUGCAUGAGUCUAAGUAUUAAACCAGUUUUACUGAUGGAGAAAAUGAGGCCUAGAGCUGUGAUUUGCUGGGGGAGCCAGAACAAGGAAAAGCUUGGGGUCCCAGAAAACACAGAUUCAUCCCAGAGGCAAAGGCUUAAUCACACCAGAGUUACAACAAUAGAUUCAUCUGCUGAUGGACAUACUGGAUGUGCUACUUCUAAAGUUGAGCAAUCGUGAAUUGUGCUGCUAUAAACGCAUGGCGGGGGUCUUUGGACCUUGGCCUCCAGGCAGACUGCUCAGAGAAGGGAAGAGGACAGACUACAAGGCAGAGCCUCUGAGCAGACGCAAGAAAGGCCCUGGGAGACUGGAGCCAUGCCUAACACCAGCCCCUGCCCACAUUCCCCGUCGGAUGGGGCUUGUGCUGGGGUCUGCCUGGAUCGCCUGCUCAUCCACGAGGCAGGGAAGAAGCAGCACGCGGCUCCUCUCCCACUCAGGACGUGGGCUGUACACUGCACUUCUUUGGGCUUCAGCUUCUGCAUCGGUAAAGCACACCGAGGGACAUUCAUACUUCACCAGAUUCUUGAGUGAUUUAAAUAACCCCCUACAAACAAGCGCUUAGAACAGAGCCUGCAAAUACCAAACCCUCACUAUUUAUCUGUUGUUUUCACCAUUUAAUAAACUAAUCCCCGAC